rnacentral:rRNA from 1 species
UACGGAGGGGGCUAGCGUUGUUCGGAAUUACUGGGCGUAAAGCGCGCGUAGGCGGCUUUGUAAGUUAGAGGUGAAAGCCCGGAGCUCAACUCCGGAACUGCCUUUAAGACUGCAUCGCUAGAACGAUGGAGAGGUAAGUGGAAUUCCGAGUGUAGAGGUGAAAUUCGUAGAUAUUCGGAAGAACACCAGUGGCGAAGGCGGCACUCUGGGCCGGUACUGACGCUGAGGAGCGAAAGCCAGGGGAGCAAACGGG